CAAGAAAUAGUUUAUUUAAAAUAUUAAUUUUGGAGAUUAAUGAAGAAUUUUUAUUCUUUCUUGA
rnacentral:tRNA from 1 species